rnacentral:tRNA from 1 species
GCCGAGGUGGUGGAAUAGGUAGACACGCCAUCUUGAGGGGGUGGUGGGCCAAAAGCCCGUAGGAGUUCAAAUCUCCUCCUCGGCA